rnacentral:rRNA from 1 species
UACGGGGGGGGCAAGCGUUGUUCGGAAUUACUGGGCGUAAAGGGUUUGUAGGUGGCCAACUAAGUCAGACGUGAAAUCCCUCGGCUUAACUGGGGAACUGCGUCUGAUACUGGUUGGCUUGAGUGCAGGAGAGGAACGCGGAAUUCCAGGUGUAGCGGUGAAAUGCGUAGAUAUCUGGAGGAACACCGGUGGCGAAGGCGGCGUUCUGGACUGCAACUGACACUGAGAAACGAAAGCCAGGGUAGCAAACGGG